GCAAGUCGAACGAUCUCUUUCUUCGGAGGGGGAUAGUGGCGAACGGGUGAGUAACGCGUGGGUAAUUUGCCUUUGGGCUCGGAAUAACUCGUCGAAAGAUGAGCUAAUACCGUAUAAGACCACAGUUUUUAUUGGAACAGUGGUCAAAGGCGGGGAUCCUGAAAAUGGACCUGUCACCUGAAGAUAAGCCCGCGUCCUAUCAGCUUGUAGGUGGGGUAAAAGCCUACCUAGGCUAUGACGGGUAGCUGGUCUGAGAGGAUGGUC
rnacentral:rRNA from 1 species